GACGAACGCUGGCGGCGUGCUUAACACAUGCAAGUCGAACGGAAAGGCCCUGCUUUUGUGGGGUGCUCGAGUGGCGAACGGGUGAGUAACACGUGAGUAACCUGCCCUUGACUUUGGGAUAACUUCAGGAAACUGGGGCUAAUACCGGAUAGGAGCUCCUGCUGCAUGGUGGGGGUUGGAAAGUUUCGGCGGUUGGGGAUGGACUCGCGGCUUAUCAGCUUGUUGGUGGGGUAGUGGCUUACCAAGGCUUUGACGGGUAGCCGGCCUGAGAGGGUGACCGGCCACAUGGGGACUGAGAUACGGACCAGACUGCUACGGGAGGCAGCAGGGGGGAAUAUUGCACAAUGGGCGGAAGCCUGAGGCAGCAACGCCGCGUGCGGGAUGACGGCCUUCGGGCUGUAAACCGCUUUCGCCUGUGACGAAGCGUGAGUGACGGUAAUGGGUAAAGAAGCACCGGCUAACUACGUG
rnacentral:rRNA from 1 species